UAGCAUGGAAUAAUAAAAUAGGACGUGCGGUUCUAUUUUGUUGGUUUUUGGAAUCGCCGUAAUGAUUAAUAGGGACAGUCGGGGGCAUUAGUACUCACAUGCUAGAGGUGAAAUUCUUGGAUUUUGUGAAGACUAACUUCUGCGAAAGCAUUUGCCAAGGAUGUUUUCAUUAAUCAGGGAACGAAAGUUAGGGGAUCGAAGACGAUCAGAUACCGUCGUAGUCUUAACCAUAAACUAUGCCGACUAGGGAUUGGCGGUCGUUACCUAGACUCCGUCAGCACCUUCCGAGAAAUCAAAGUCUUUGGGUUCCGGGGGGAGUAUGGUCGCAAGGCUGAAACUUAAAGAAAUUGACGGAAGGGCACCACCAGG
rnacentral:rRNA from 1 species